UCCACUCUUUCAGCAGUCAAAAGAGAGUCUCUUGUGUAAAAUAAUCGAAAAAUCAACCAUAGAACUAUCCAGAAAAACAAACAAACAAACACGUAGCUUGAUUUGCUUUCUGCUGGGUUCAUAAGAAAAUUACAGCAGAAUACAACGAAAAAAAAAGAUGGAAAAAGUAUCGCAACUAGGCAAUCUAGUUGUAUCAGGUACAGAUGAAGAAGAAUCUAAAGAUCAAAAUUCGUAACUUAAACUCUGUAUCCACAUUUUCUCGCCAAACAAACAGAGGUGAAGAGAGUGAGGAAAAGUUUCCGCACUGGUAGUAGCUAGGCGUAGGACUAAUACACAAAUAAAUAAGGAUCCAAACCUCUAAAGUUACAAAUUCAAGUCUGUUCCACCAUUUUCCCAGCAAACAAACAGAGUUAUUCCAACAAGAUGCGGUAUUCCUCACCCUACUAAUUAGUUUACUAAAAUCUUCCUUUUCUCUCCCUCCACUCUUUCAGCAGUCAAAAGAGAGUCUCUUGUGUAAAAUAAUCGAAAAAUCAACCAUAGAACUAUCCAGAAAAACAAACAAACAAACACGUAGCUUGAUUUGCUUUCUGCUGGGUUCAUAAGAAAAUUACAGCAGAAUACAACGAAAAAAAAAGAUGGAAAAAGUAUCGCAACUAGGCAAUCUAGUUGUAUCAGGUACAGAUGAAGAAGAAUCUAAAGAUCAAAAUUCGUAACUUAAAGUCUGUAUCCACGUUUUCUCGCCAAACAAACAGAGGUGAAGAGAGUGAGGAAAAGAUUCCGCACUGGUAGUAGCUAGGCGUAGGACUAAUACACAAAUAAAUAAGGAUCUAAACCUCUAAAGUUACAAAUUCAAGUCUGUUCCACCAUUUUCCCAGCAAACAAACAGAGUUAUUCCAACAAGAUGCGGUAUUCCUCGCCCUAGUAAUUAGUUUACUAAAAUCUUCCUUUUCUCUCCCUCCACUCUUUCAGCAGUCAAUAGAGAGUCUCUGUGUAAAAUAAUCGAAAAAUCAACCAUAG
rnacentral:lncRNA from 1 species